UACGGGGGGGGGGUAAGCGUUGUUCGGAAUUACUGGGCGUAAAGGGCUCGUAGGCGGCCAACUAAGUCAUACGUGAAAUCCCUCAGCUUAACUGGGGAACUGCGUGUGAUACUGGAUGGCUUGGAUUUGGGGAGAGGGAUGCGGAAUUCCAGGUGUAGCGGUGAAAAUGCGUAGAUAUCUGGAGGAACACCGGUGGCGAAGGCGGCAUCCUGGACCAAUAUUGACGGCUGAGGAGCGAA
rnacentral:rRNA from 1 species